ACCUGGCUGGCUCAGUGGGUAGAGCAUGCGACUCUUGACCUCAGGGUUGUGAGUUCAAGUCCCACAUUGGGUG
rnacentral:tRNA from 1 species